AAUGAACGCUGGCGGCAUGCCUAACACAUGCAAGUCGAACGAAGCCUUUCGGGCUUAGUGGCGCACGGGUGCGUAACGCGUGGGAAUCUGCCCUUGGGUUCGGAAUAACAGUGGGAAACUACUGCUAAUACCGAAUGAUGUCGUAAGACCAAAGAUUUAUCGCCCAGGGAGUGAGCCCGCGUAGGAUUAGCUAGUUGGUGUGGUAAAGGCGCACCAAGGCGACGAUCCUUAGCUGGCCUUGAGAGGAUGAUCAGCCACACUGGGACGUGAGACAC
rnacentral:rRNA from 1 species